rnacentral:rRNA from 1 species
UACGUAGGGGGCAAGCGUUGUCCGGAUUUAUUGGGCGUAAAGAGCGUGUAGGCGGCCUGACAGGUCUGCUGUGAAAACUCGAGGCUCAACCUCGAGAUGUCGGCGGAAACCGUCUGGCUAGAGUCCGGAAGAGGAGAGUGGAAUUCCUGGUGUAGCGGUGAAAUGCGCAGAUAUCAGGAAGAACACCUAUGGCGAAGGCAGCUCUCUGGGACGGUACUGACGCUGAGACGCGAAAGCGUGGGGAGCGAGCAGG